GACGAACGCUGGCGGCGUGCUUAACCCAUGCAAGUCGAACGACGUGGCGAACUGGUGAGUAAUCCGUGGGUAACCUGCCCUCCUUUUUGGGAUCAGCCUUGGAAACGGGGUCUAAUACCUAAUAAAGGGGGCUGGUCUCGCGGCCUAUCAGCUUGUUGGUGGGGUGAUGGCCUACCAAGGCGGUGACGGGUAGCCGGCCUGAGAGGGGGACCGGCCACAUUGGGACUGGGAUACGGCCAAGACUCCUACGGGAUGAAGCAGUGGGGGAUAUUGCACAAUGGGCGAAAGCCUGAUGCAGCAACGCCGCGUGAGUGAUGACGGCCUUCGGGUUGUAAAGCUCUGUUAAUCGGGACGCGGUACCGGAAUAGAAAGCCACGGCUAACUACGUGCCAGCAGCCUCGGUAAUAC
rnacentral:rRNA from 1 species